rnacentral:rRNA from 1 species
GUGCCAGCAGCCGCGGUAAUACGUAGGGUGCAAGCGUUAAUCGGAAUUACUGGGCGUAAAGCGUGCGCAGGCGGUUCGGCAAGAAGGAUGUGAAAUCCCAGGGCUUAACCUUGGAACUGCAUUCUUAACUGCCGGGCUAGAGUAUGUCAGAGGGGGGUAGAAUUCCGCGUGUAGCAGUGAAAUGCGUAGAGAUGCGGAGGAAUACCGAUGGCGAAGGCAGCCCCCUGGGAUAAUACUGACGCUCAUGCACGAAAGCGUGGGGAGCAAACAGGAUUAGAAACCCUUGUAGUCC